rnacentral:rRNA from 1 species
GAUGAACGCUGGCUACAGGCUUAACACAUGCAAGUCGAGGGGAAACGACGGGGAAGCUUGCUUCCCCGGGCGUCGACCGGCGCACGGGUGAGUAACGCGUAUCCAACCUGCCUCUGACUGAGGGAUAACCCGUCGAAAGUCGGCCUAAUACCUCAUGGCAUCGUCUGCGGGCAUCCAACGACGAUUAAAGAUUUCAUCGGUCAGGGAUGGGGAUGCGUCUGAUUAGCUUGUUGGCGGGGUAACGGCCCACCAAGGCUACGAUCAGUAGGGGUUCUGAGAGGAAGGUCCCCCACAUUGGAACUGAGACACGGUCCAAACUCCUACGGGAGGCAGCAGUGAGGAAUAUUGGUCAAUGGGCGGGAGCCUGAACCAGCCAAGUAGCGUGCAGGAUGACGGCCCUAUGGGUUGUAAACUGCUUUUAUGCGGGGAUAAAGUGAGGGACGUGUCCUUCAUUGCAGGUACCGCAUGAAUAAGGACAGGCUAAUUCCGU